UGGGGUGAUGAUGCCAUCCUGUUGAGUGGGGAAGCUCCUGCAGUGGCGGGAAUCUCCACUCGGAUUCCUGACGACGCACACAGGGGCCAUCUGACCGGCA